rnacentral:miRNA from 1 species
AGAUGUCCAGUUAAAUGUGAAUUUUUGAUAAACAAGGAAUGUUUUUUUGGUAUAAGUAUGUCCCUGUGAAAAAUUUGGGACACACUUAUACUAAAAAAUUAUUCAUUGUUUAUCUGAAAUUCAAAUGUAACUGGACUUCCUGUAUUUU